rnacentral:lncRNA from 1 species
GGGAAAGGGAAUGCUGAUGUAUAUAUUCAAGGCAGAGGGAAUACCAAGUACAGACUGUCCAAGGCAAGUGCAUACUUGAUGCUUUGAGGAGCACUGAGGCCAAGGUGCCUGGAGCUGCAUGAGGAGGUGGGAUAUGGUGGUACCUGAGGUAGGACAGGGAGUCUAGGCCUGCAACUUUUAAGGACUUUGACUGCUCUGAGUGAGAUGAGAAGCCAAUGAAUGGUUUUGAGCAGAUGAAUGGUAUGAGUUGACUUGUUUUAAAAAUAAUCAUUCUGGCUACUUUAUGGGGAACAGACUGUAGGAAUGCAAGGAUAUAAGAAGAAUUUUUGUAGAUGACAGCUUCAAUCCAGGGAAGAGAUGAUGGUGGCUUGGAAUAGGGCGUUAAUAGUAGAGGUCAAAAGAGGUGGUCAGCUUUAGAUAUAUUGUGAAGGUAGGGUCUACCAGAUUUGCUAAUGGAUUGGAUAUGGGUGCUAAAAGAAGAAUCAAGGAUGACUUCAGGGUUUUUGGCCUGAGCAACCAGAAGUAUGGCAUUGCCAUUUACUGAGUUGGAGAAGACUGAAGGAGAAGCAAGUUUGGGAGGGAAGACCAAGAAUUCAGUUUUGGAUAUGCUGAGUGUGAGCUUUAAUUAGAUUUCUAGAUAGAGAUGUCAAAUAGGC